rnacentral:rRNA from 1 species
UACAGAGGUGGCAAGCGUUGUUCGGAAUUACUGGGCGUAAAGGGCGCGUAGGCGGCCAUCUAAGUCAGACGUGAAAUCCCCCGGCUUAGCCUGGGAACUGCGUCUGAUACUGGACGGCUUGAGUAUGGGAGAGGGAUGUAGAAUUCCAGGUGUAGCGGUGAAAUGCGUAGAUAUCUGGAGGAAUACCGGUGGCGAAGGCGGCAUCCUGGACCAUUACUGACGCUGAGGCGCGAAAGCUAGGGGAGCAAACGGG